CUGUAUGCUGCUUUUGCCGGGGACAGAACAGGAAUGGAGUCUUAGAACUUUUAGAGAACAUCUCCAAACAGGAAUACUUGUGUGCCUUGGAUCCAUUAUUUCCUCAUUGGUGGUUGAGGAGAAUUCCACAUCAUGGUGUUUCUGUUUUGAUGCCCUGUAGUCUGCUUGACAAGAAUUGUAGCUACAUCAUCUAGGGUUUGCGGAGACAAAAUGUACUGUGUGUACAAAGUAGCUGCCAGCAAUUAGACUGUCUUUCCUGUCAAGCAGACAACUAUCAAGCUUGAAGAGAUCUUCACCAUGAUAGCAAUGUGUUCUGUCUUCAAGGAUCUAAUUUGCUAAACCUGGUAUUUCCCAGAUAAGACGCAAAGACGCAGAAACAUUGUGUCUCUUCUUGCUUGUGUCUCAACAGCACGCAGUGGAGGGGAGGUGGAUUUUCAGUGCACACUUUCCAUAUUCACACCUGUGAUACCCUAACCCUAAUCCUAACCCAUAUUGAUUUCUUCUUUCUAAAGGUAGUUCUAAUGUCACUUUGCCAGUGCUUGUAUGCUGCAUGUAGGAGACCUAUGGCCCAGAAUGCAUGGAUGGGCAGUACUAGUUCCUUAUGUGGCUCCUUUUGUUAUUCUGGCUUUGAUCCUCCAAAUUCCAUCAACAGUUUGCAGGAGUAAAAUUGUUAGAUAUGCGCUCACUGUAUAUAAAUGUUGAAUAUUAAAUUGUAAACAAAACUAAAGUAAUUACAAAUUCUACAUAAUAAACUUCCCCUUACAUUUGUUAUUAUGUAUAAAUCUUUCUCCUUGGUGUUGUUGAACAUCCGUGUUCUCAAUAGAAUGGUAGAUAUGGCAAUAAACCUAUCUUAAUAUGGGUUUUGUUGGUACAGUCAUAAUUUUUUUACCCUUGAUAGG